rnacentral:rRNA from 1 species
CCUACGUGAGGCAGCAGUGGGGAAUAUUGCACAAUGGGGGAAACCCUUAUGCAGCGACGCCGCGUGAGUGCAGAAGUAAUUCGUUAUGUAAAGCUCUAUCAGCAGGGAAGAAAAUGACGGUACCUGAGUAAGAAGCCCCGGCUAACUACGUGCCAGCAGCCGCGGUAAUACGUAGGGGGCAAGCGUUAUCCGGAUUUACUGGGUGUAAAGGGAGCGUAGACGGCAGUGCAAGUCUGGAGUGAAAGGCGGGGGCUCAACCCCCGGACUGCUCUGGAAACUGUACGGCUGGAGUGCAGGAGAGGUAAGUGGAAGUCCUAGGGUAGCGGGGAAAUGCGUAGAUAUUAGGAGGAACACCAGUGGCGAAGGCGGCUUACUGGACUGUAACUGACGUUGAGGCUCGAAAGCGUGGGGAGCAAACAGGAUUAGAUACCCCUGUAGUC